GAUGAACGCUGGCGGCGUGCCUAAUACAUGCAAGUCGAGCGAACGGACGAGAAGCUUGCUUCUCUGAUGUUAGCGGCGGACGGGUGAGUAACACGUGGAUAACCUACCUAUAAGACUGGGAUAACUUCGGGAAACCGUAGCUAAUACCGGAUAAUAUUUUGAACCGCAUGGUUCAAAAGUGAAAGACGGUCUUGCUGUCACUUAUAGAUGGAUCCGCGCUGCAUUAGCUAGUUGGUAAGGUAACGGCUUACCAAGGCAACGAUGCAUAGCCGACCUGAGAGGGUGAUCGGCCACACUGGAACUGAGACACGGUCCAGACUCCUACGGGAGGCAGCAGUAGGGAAUCUUCCGCAAUGGGCGAAAGCCUGACGGAGCAACGCCGCGUGAGUGAUGAAGGGCUUCGGAUCGUAAAACUCUGUUAUUAGGGAAGAACAUAUGUGUAAGUAACUGUGCACAUCUUGACGGUACCUAAUCAGAAAGCCACGGCUAAC
rnacentral:rRNA from 1 species